rnacentral:rRNA from 1 species
CCUACGGGAGGCAGCAGUGGGGAAUCUUGCGCAAUGGGCGAAAGCCUGACGCAGCAACGCCGCGUGCGGGAUGAAGGCCUUCGGGUUGUAAACCGCUUUUAACAGGAACGAAAAUGACGGUACCUGUAGAAUAAGGUGCGGCCAACUACGUGCCAGCAGCCGCGGUGACACGUAGGCACCAAGCGUUGUCCGGAUUUAUUGGGCGUAAAGAGCUCGUAGGCGGUUCGAUAAGUCGGGUGUGAAAACCUCUGGGCUUAACCCCAGAGACGCCACUCGAUACUAUUGUGACUAGAGUUCGGUAGGGGUAGCGGGGAAUUCCUAGUGUAGCGGUGAAAUGCGCAGAUAUUAGGAGGAACACCGGUGGCGAAGGCGCCGCUCUGGGCCGAAACUGACGCUGAGGAGCGAAAGCGUGGGUAGCAAACAGGAUUAGAUACCCUGGUAGUCCACGCCGUAAACCGGUGGGCACUAGGUGUGGGCUCCAACCAACGGAGUCCGCGCCGUCGCUAACGCAUUAAGUGCCCCGCCUGGGGAGUACGGCCGCAAGGUUAAAACCUUAAAUGAAUUGACGG